rnacentral:rRNA from 1 species
UACGAAGGGGGCUAGCGUUGCUCGGAAUCACUGGGCGUAAAGGGUGCGUAGGCGGGUUCUUAAGUCAGAGGUGAAAUCCUGGAGCUCAACUCCAGAACUGCCUUUGAUACUGGGAAGCUUGAGUCCGGGAGAGGUGAGUGGAACUGCGAGUGUAGAGGUGAAAUUCGUAGAUAUUCGCAAGAACACCAGUGGCGAAGGCGGCUCACUGGCCCGAUACUGACGCUGAGGCACGAAAGCGUGGGGAGCAAACAGG